GCCGGGUGGGAAGGUGGUGGGCUUCUCCAAGGCCGGUGGGUUGUGUACCCCCGCCCUCGAAUGGGGCUGGGAGUCCCGGCAGUUGGGAAUUUCUAAUUAGGAGAGACGAUGAGAGAUGCCCGGUGGCCCGCGAGGGCAGCCGCUUUCGAAGAAACCAGGAAUGGCGCUGUGAGAUGCGCGGGCCCUGUUCCACCCAGCUCCCCAUCACGCACAAAAAGAACGGGCCUUGAAAGAGAUGAGUUUAUUAUUCCCUUUUAAACGACUAUUCAGAAGAGAUCAGGAGAGGGGGAAAAAAAUGCUUCCCACCCCACCAAUUCCCUUCCCUUGAAGAAAAGAAAGAGAAAGCAACCCACAAAGGGCCAACACAAGGGACUAAUAAAAUCUCUGAGAACUGUAGGACUCAAAUACAUGCUGUGUGGGAGUUUGCGAAAGCAACUUUGCUGAGUACAAACCCUAGACGAUGAAACUGAAAAGACUUCGAAAAUCACAGGCUCCUCUCCCAAUCGGCGCCGCACUUUUCCAGCUUUCUAGGAUAAAGUUGUCUCAGAAAAAGAAAAACUGUUGAUAAACCAUCGUUCCAGACCGUAACUUAUUUUACAACUCUCCGUUUGCAAUCGAUCAUAGCUCGGGCCUAACAGCACUGACUCGGGCUUUUCAUUUGUUUAUAGUGUGUGCUGUGUUUUAUACCUCAAAUGUACCAUGUCAGCUAUGUAAUAAUGCGUUAUUUUUGUUCACAUCCUGGAUCCACAUCUGCAAUGCUUUUGUUUGAAAUAAAAGCCGUGAUUAUUUUCCAUUA